rnacentral:rRNA from 1 species
AGAGUUUGAUCCUGGCUCAGGGUGAACGCUGGCGGCAUGUCUAAGACAUGCAAGUCGAAUGCUUAGUUUACUAAGCAUGGCAAACGGGAGAGUAACACGUUGGUAAUCUACCUCUGUCUCAGGGAUAACCCGGAGAAAUCUGGAGUAAUACCUGAUAGGUAUGGGGGGACAUAAGUCAUUCCCAUAUAAAGAUCCGUCGGAUGGAGAGGAGCCUACGGCACAUCAGCUUGUUGGUAAGGUAACGGCUUACCAAGGCUACGACGUGUAGCGGGUGUGAGAGCAUGGCCCGUCUCACUGGAACUGAGAUACUGUCCAGACUCCUACGGGAGGCUGCAGUCGAGAAUCUUCCUCAAUGGACGAAAGUCUGAAGGAGCAAUGCCGCGUGAUCGUCUGCCCUUUUCGGAGUGUAAAGAUCUUUUAUCAGGGACGAAUUCGUGACGGUACCUGA